GCCUCUGUAGCGAAAUGGUUAACGCGCCAGCCUUCUAAGCUGGAGAUUCUGGGUUCGACCCCCAGCAGGGGUG